UACGUAGGGGGCAAGCGUUGUCCGGAUUCAUUGGGCGUAAAGAGCGUGUAGGCGGCCAGGUAGGUCCGUUGUGAAAACUCGAGGCUCAACCUCGAGCUGUCGAUGGAAACCAUCUGGCUAGAGUCCGGAAGAGGAGAGUGGAAUUCCUGGUGUAGCGGUGGAAUGCGCAGAUAUCAGGAGGAACACCGAUGGCGAAGGCAGCUCGCUGGGACGGUACUGACGCUGAGGCGCGAAAGCGUGGGGAGCGAACAGG
rnacentral:rRNA from 1 species